ACUUCGUACUGCUCUUUUUUAUUUCUCAUUGGUGGUUAGACCGACUAUGUUGUAUGGGGCGGAGUGUUGGCCGGUUAAGAUCUCUUACGUCCAAAAGAUGAAAGUUGCCGAGAUGAGAAUGUUGAGAUGGAUGUGUGGCCACACCAGGAGUGACAGGAUUAGGAAUGAGGAUAUUCGGGACAAGGUGGGAGUGGCCUCGGUGGAAGACAAGAUGCGAGAAGCGAGAUUGAGAUGGUUUGGGCAUGUGAAGAGGAGAGACACAGAUGCCUCAGUGCAGAGGUGUGAGAGGUUGGCCAUGGAUGGUUUCAGACGAGGUAGGGGUAGGCCGAAGAAGUAUUGGGGAGAGGUAAUUAGACACGACAUGGCGCAGUUACGGCUUACCGAGGACAUGACCUUAGAUAGGAGGGUUUGGAAGACCCAGAUUAGGGUAGAAGGCUAGUAGAUAGUCUCAUUAUCCUGUCUUAUUAGUAGUCGCAUUAUCGUAGUAUAAUUUCUUGUGCUCUGAUGUAUGCUAUUAUCUGUUAUUUCCUGUGCUUUGAUUAUUCUAUGCUAUCUGUGUCGCUUGCGUUAUUUCAUUUCCAUAUCGCUUUGAAUCUCUUAGCCUUAUCUGACCUCUUUUUAUGCUUUUGUUUAUUGAGUCGAGGGCCUUUCGGAAACAACCGUCCUACCUUGGUAGGAGUAAGGUCUGCGUACACUCUACCCUUCCCAGACCCCACGUUGUGGGAUUCCACUGGGUUGUUGUUGUUGUUGCUUAAUAUGCUCUUUGUUCACUUUCCAAUAUAUGGCACAUCAUGUUUAUUUAUCAAAUGGUAAAUUACUCGUUUCAACUCACUCAAUUUUGCUCCACUUUGAACUCUUGGUUUUAGUGCUUUGUUGAUGUAUGCUAGCAGAGAUGGUUGGGUGAAGUAGAUUUUAAGCUUUCAUUUGUCCGAUAAUUUAUUGUUUUUAGAAGCAGGCUUAGGGUAGCAUCCACAGAACUUAAAAUAAGGAUAUUGUGGUAAGUUUGGUUAUUUUUUGAAGUUAAAAUAAAUGUUUUAAAUAUAAAAAUGUACUAUAUCACCCUCCACAUCUUCACUUAUUUAUCUAAGUUUGCAGGUUAGAGAAUAAACUAAUUAUUUUCCUUCUUGGUUUGAAUAUAAAAAUGACUCCUUCUUGGUUUGAAUGAUUCCACCCAUUGUUUGUGGUUUAGUUCUCUCGUUAUUUAUCUUUGAUGCAGCACUCACCUACUUCGAUCUGUGACUUGACUGACACUAAGAUUAGUGAUACAAGCAUCUCUCCAGCUUUCACCCCAUUUGGUGUUUAUGUGUUCCCUUGCAUAGCAAAGACCUGCAAAACAGAAAACUGAGUUAGUAAAAAUUACCACCAUGUUCUCUUCCAAUAGGAUUUAAAGCAUUUAGCAGCAACCCAAAACAACAAAUGGAAUCUCGUAGUUGGAUGUAUACUAGAACAAAUGACGGUAGAGGGGGGAUGAGGCACGAAUUUAUGGACGGUGUCGUUGCCUUUGUUGAAUAUGCAAUGACACUUGAACCUUUUAUAAUCGAAGGCUUGGUUAGGUGUCCUUGUGAGAAAUGUGCAUGUUGGAAUUAUGAGACACCAGAGAUUGUUAGGCUUCAUCUCUAUACUCACGACUUUCAAUUAAAUUAUACAAUAUGGACUAGUCAUGGAGAAACGAACACUAGUCUGGGAGGAUUUCAAAACUUUGUUGUUGGUGAAAGUAGUAGGGCAGCGGAACCUGAUGUCCAAAAUUAUAGAAUGCACGACAUGAUUCAGGAUGCUUAUGGGAUGCAUUCCGAUUUUGAAUCCGGUAACAAUGUUGAACAAGAUCCUAAUGAGGAAGCUAGUCGUUUUUUUGAAUAGUUGAAAGAUGCUAGUCGGCCAUUGUGUGGCGGGAGUCCCCACUCUCAGUUGUCUAUUGCUGUUAGAUUAAUAAGUAUUAAAGCAGAUUGGAAUGUUCCUCAAAGGGCAAUGGAUGCUGUGAUUAGCCUUAUACGUGAAUUAGUUUACCCGAAUCUACAGAUACCUGUUAACUACUACAAGACAAAGAGAUUGGUGUCAAAGUUAGGACUCUCGUCCUACAGAAUUGAUUGUUGUAAAAAUGGAUGCAUGUUAUACUAUAAGGAUGACGUCGGUCUAGAAUCUUGUAAGUUUUGUGGAAAAGCUCGUUUUAAGCGAGCUCGUAGCGGGAAGAGAGUUGCUUUUAAGGCGAUGCUUUGCUUACCUCUUAUACCAAGGUUAAAGAGGUUGUACAGGGUUGUUUCACGGACUCGCCAACUUGGGGCAAGAUGGAACCAGACCAGAAGAGACAGAUCUGUUUAACCUUUAAGAGAAAGUGUUUCUGGCUCCCGGAACAUAAAGCUCAUGUCGCCCAAAACUUCGAGAAAAAAGUAGGGCAGCUGCUAAAGGGUGCAUUAGGAAGGGUUCGUGAAGACCAAGCGAAGCCUGAUUGGAUCCGGCCGGAGGCCUAUAACAAGCUAUUGUAGUACUGGGCAUCUGAUGAAUUUAAGAAACAAAGUGAAACAGGGAAGAAGGCCAGAAAUUCUACGAAGGGUGGCUCCCUACACACUAGUGGGGCUAAGAGCCAAGCGGCCAUGAGGAAGGAGCUGGAACUCAAAGAAAAGAGGAUAUUGCCUCAAGAUGAGGCAUUUAGAAUCACUCACGUGAAGAAGAAGAAAAACAGUCAAGAACCAGACAAAUGGGUUGAGGAACGGGCUAAGCAGUCCUACAUUCAAUUUCAACAAUCACGGGCUGAGUUAUGCCGUAGUCUGCCACCUGGCACAGAGCCUACAGAUGAACAGUUGAAUUUAUUAUGGAUUGCGACUGUUGGUGGCCCCACUAGGUUUGGCACAAGUUAUGGAAUGGAAAAUAGAGCAUUUCGUAAAUUCCAGUCGCCCCUGCAAGGCAUAGGUUCUUUUAAUGAUGCCGGGUCAUCGGAUAGAGCGAGUGUUAUGGCCAUGAAGCAGAAGAUUCUUGAGCUAUCUAUGCAGUUACAGGCCUUGAAGGCUAGGGAUAGGCGGAGGGACGAGUAGCUACAGGCUGCAGAGGAUAGGGAGAGACGGAGGGACGAGCAAUUUGCGGGUAAGAAAGCUCAAUUAGACUUAUUACUUUCUUCGAGGGGAAUUCCCCCUUGUUCUGAUGACGCUCGUAGCUCCAAGCGUCGAUUUCCCCAUUCUCAAUCUAGGGCACGACAUCGAGAGGUUGGUCAAGAACUGGGACUUGUAGAUGAGCCAAGUAGUGGUGAUGAUGAUGGGGAGCACGUGUCAAACAUAGAACGACAUGGUUGAAUUUUAUGUAUCUUACGCACUUAUAAAUUUUUUGGUGGAUUUGUAAAAAUGUGAAAAUGUUUGGUGGAUGUUUAGUUUGAUGUUGUAGACUAACUUAGUGUAGACUAGUAUAAGUAUAAUGUUUUGUGAAUGUUUGUAAAGGUUGAAGUAGUUUAAUGUUUUUUGUGAAUGUUGAAUUACAUUUUGAUUCAACUUUGAAGUAGUUUCGAGUUGAAUUUGAUGUAGUGCGGGUUGUAGCAUAUUAUUAUAUGUGCUUGUUGGCAGCUAUUUGAGCUGGUUUUAGCUAA